GCGCUCGUAGCUCAACUGGAUAGAGCACUGGGCUUCGAACCCAGGGGUUGGGGGUUCAAGUCCCUCCGAGCGCG
rfam:Myxococcus stipitatus DSM 14675, complete genome.